UACGGAGGGUGCGAGCGUUGUUCGGAAUCACUGGGCGUAAAGGGCGUGUAGGCGGUCCGCUAAGUCUGAUGUGAAAGCCCGGGGCUCACCCCCGGAAGUGCAUUGGAAACUGGCGGACUCGAGUCCCGGAGAGGAGAGUGGAAUUCCUGGUGUAGCGGUGAAAUGCGUAGAUAUCAAGAGGAAUACCAGAGGUGAAGACGGGUUGCUAGGCUGACACUGACGCUGAGGCGCGAAAGCAUGGGUAGCAAACAGG
rnacentral:rRNA from 1 species